AAGUCGUAACAAGGUUUCCGUAGGUGAACCUGCGGAAGGAUCAUUAACAAAUGUGUGGGUGUAGGGUGUGUGUGGUGGUGGUGGUGGCGGUGUGCUCUGCCUUUCUGGGUUGGCGCAUAUCCAUCCAUCCUAUCCAUCGCGCUCUGCACACAUUGACCCGGGGCCCGCGCGGCUCCGAAUAUUCACGCUUGUAUGUUUGACCGAGUUUUACAUGUGACACAACAGAAAGACAACUUUUAACAAUGGAUCUCUUGGCUCUU
rnacentral:misc_RNA from 1 species